rnacentral:rRNA from 1 species
UAAUGACUCCCGGCAAUGGAUAUCUUGGCUCUUGCAUCGAUGAAGAGCGCAGCGAAAUGCGAUACGUGGUGCGAAUUGCAGAAUCCCGUGAACCAUCGAGUUUUUGAACGCAAGUUGCGCCUGAGGCCAACUAGCCGAGGGCACGUCCGCUGGGCGUCAUGC